CGCGGGCCAGUCGGGGAACUCGGCCGUGGGGGGGCUUCCAGGGUGGGGGACACCACAGGUGGGGGGGGAGCUACGAGGGGAACGGGAGGACCCAGCGCAGAAGGUGGGCGGGAGUAGCUCAGAAGGGGAGCGCCACAGCCUGGGGGGGGGACGGACCGUCUCAGAGGGGCAGUGCUGCAGGGGAGGGCGCCGCGCUGGUGGGAGGAGGAUCACGGUCCGCUCGGGAGCACCCCCGGGGGAAAGAAAGGCAUGGCAAGUGGGCGGAGCGUCUUAGGUGGGCGGGUCACCGUAAUUGUGGGAGCUCUGCGGGUGGCGGGGAGCGCCGCAGGUGGCGGCAGUACCCCGCUGGGAGGAGCCUCGCAGGGGGCAGACGUCACCCGAGCUGGGUAGGGAGCGUCUCAGGUGAAAGGGAAAAGCACCACAGGUGGGUGGGAGCUUUGCAGGUACGAGAGCGCUCCGGGGUAGGGGCGCGGGGUGGAGAGAGCGCAGCAGGUGGCUGAACCGUACCGCAGGUGGGCGGAGCAUCCUGGGCAGGCGGGAUCGCAGCGUGGAAGGGAGCGCGGUCGGUGGGGGGCGCUGGGCCAGCAACUAUUAGGGAAACAGAACCCCAAGGGAAACCCUCCGAGCAGGAUUCCUUCCCCCAGAGGCGCUCGGAACUGCGGGCGCCCCAUCUUUUUCUCGUUUCCCCAGGUUUCACCUGCGCCCUGAGGUUGUGGGAACUUGCAGCGGAUGCUCCAGCUGGUGGCAAAAGUGAGGCCUGGAAUCUCCAAACCGAAAACAUUCGUACCCAGUAUCAUGGCGGAAGGAUGAAGGACCAGCGGACUUUUCACAGAGCUCAGCUCAAUGCCAGUUACCUGCUUCGGAGCCCUGACCCGUUGCUCGGUGUAUCAGAAUACCGUGUGCAGAGGCCGCCAGCGAAUGUGGGGAGACAGAGACGUCUCCUUUCUUCAUCUCUUGCGGUAUAUGUUUUAAUAGUUCUUCAACCCCUGCAACUGGAUGGUUUGGGGGGGGGGGGGUUGUUGUUUUCCUUUUUGUAACUUUGGCCUUGGAAGAGAAUCUCUGAUACAGAGGGGAUGACUGCACGCCUCAGUUGAUGAGGGAGCAGGAGGCUGGCUGAGGACAGAGCAGAAGCUGGCGCCUUGCACCCCCGC